UAUUUGACUGAACGGCGGACGGGUGAGUAACGCGUGGGUAACCUGCCUCAUACAGGGGAAUAACAGUUAGAAAUGGCUGCUAAUGCCGCAUAAGCGCACAGGACCGCAUGGUCUGGUGUGAAAAACUGAGGUGGUAUGAGAUGGACCCGCGUCUGAUUAGGUAGUUGGUGGGGUAACGGCCUACCAAGCCGACGAUCAGUAGCCGGCCUGAGAGGGUGAACGGCCACAUUGGGACUGAGACACGGCCCAGACUCCUACGGGAGGCAGCAGUGGGGAAUAUUGCACAAUGGGGGAAACCCUGAUGCAGCGACGCCGCGUGAAGGAAGAAGUAUCUCGGUAUGUAAACUUCUAUCAGCAGGGAAGAAAAUGACGGUACCUGACUAAGAAGCCCCGGCUAACUACGUGCCAGCAGCCGCGGUAAUACGUAGGGGGCAAGCGUUAUCCGGAUUUACUGGGUGUAAAGGGAGCGUAGACGGAAGAGCAAGUCUGAUGUGAAAGGCUGGGGCUUAACCCCAGGACUGCAUUGGAAACUGUUUUUCUAGAGUGCCGGAGAGGUAAGCGGAAUUCCUAGUGUAGCGGUGAAAUGCGUAGAUAUUAGGAGGAACACCAGUGGCGAAGGCGGCUUACUGGACGGUAAC
rnacentral:rRNA from 1 species